AAAGAGUCAUUAUGGGCUUACACCCUAAUACUCCACCCUUUGUUUACAUUACCUUUGUUGCUUUGGCAGGCCCGUCCUUGUGACCACUGGCUUCGGCUGGUCCGCGCCUGCCAGAGAACCUAAAACUCUUGUUUAAUCAUAUUGUCUGAGUACUAUAUAAUAGUUAAAACUUUCAACAACGGAUCUCAUGGUUCCGGCAUCGAUGAAGAACGCAGCGAAAUGCGAUACGUAAUGUGAAUUGCAAAUUCAGUGAAUCAUCGAGUCUUUGAACGCACAUUGCGCCCCCUGGUAUUCCGGGGGGCAUGCCUGUCCGAGCGUCAUUGCUGCCCUCAAGCCCGGCUUGUGUGUUGGGCCCCGUCCUCCGAUCUCCGGGGGACGGGCCCGAAAGGCAGCGGCGGCACCGCGUCCGGUCCUCGAGCGUAUGGGGCUUUGUCACCCGCUCUGUAGGCCCGGCCGGCGCUUGCCGAUCAACCCAAAUUUUUAUCCAGGUUGACCUCGGAUCAGGUAGGGAUACCCGCUGAACUUAA
rnacentral:rRNA from 1 species